rnacentral:tRNA from 1 species
GGAGUGACAGGGUAAAACGACCGGCGUCGAACUCGAAAACCGGUAUGGGGGCAACCUCAUCGUGGGUUCGAAUCCCACUCUCUCCGCCA